UCAGAGUUUUGAUCCUGGCUCAGAUUGAACGCUGGCGGCAUGCCUUACACAUGCAAGUCGAACGGCAGCACGGGUGCUUGCACCUGGUGGCGAGUGGCGAACGGGUGAGUAAUACAUCGGAACAUGUCCUGUAGUGGGGGAUAGCCCGGCGAAAGCCGGAUUAAUACCGCAUACGAUCCAUGGAUGAAAGCGGGGGACCUUCGGGCCUCGCGCUAUAGGGUUGGCCGAUGGCUGAUUAGCUAGUUGGUGGGGUAAAGGCCUACCAAGGCGACGAUCAGUAGCUGGUCUGAGAGGACGACCAGCCACACUGGGACUGAGACACGGCCCAGACUCCUACGGGAGGCAGCAGUGGGGAAUUUUGGACAAUGGGCGAAAGCCUGAUCCAGCAAUGCCGCGUGUGUGAAGAAGGCCUUCGGGUUGUAAAGCACUUUUGUCCGGAAAGAAAUCCUUGGCUCUAAUACAGUCGGGGGAUGACGGUACCGAAGA
rnacentral:rRNA from 1 species